UAAGGAAUAUUGGUCAAUGGACGCAAGUCUGAACCAGCCAUGCCGCGUGAAGGAUGAAGGUCCUCUGGAUUGUAAACUUCUUUUAUAUGGGAAGAAAUCCCGGAAUUCUUUCUGGGUUGACGGUACCAUAGGAAUAAGCACCGGCUAACUCCGUGCCAGCAGCCGCGGUAAUACGGAGGGUGCAAGCGUUAUCCGGAUUCACUGGGUUUAAAGGGUGCGUAGGAGGACUGGUAAGUCAGUGGUGAAAUCUCCGGGCUUAACCCGGAAAUUGCCGUUGAUACUAUCAGUCUUGAAUACCGUGGAGGUGAGCGGAAUAUGUCAUGUAGCGGUGAAAUGCUUAGAUAUGACAUAGAACACCAAUUGCGAAGGCAGCUCACUACACGAAUAUUGACUCUGAGGCACGAAAGCGUGGGGAUCAAACAGG
rnacentral:rRNA from 1 species